CAGCAGCCGCGGUAAUACGUAGGGUGCAAGCGUUAAUCGGAAUUACUGGGCGUAAAGCGUGCGCAGGCGGUUAUAUAAGACAGAUGUGAAAUCCCCGGGCUCAACCUGGGAACUGCAUUUGUGACUGUAUAGCUAGAGUACGGCAGAGGGGGAUGGAAUUCCGCGUGUAGCAGUGAAAUGCGUAGAUAUUCGGAGGAACACCGAUGGCGAAGGCAAUCCCCUGGGCCUGUACUGACGCUCAUGCACGAAAGCGUGGGGAGCAAACAGGAUUAGAUACCCGUGUAGUCCCUGUCUCUUAUAC
rnacentral:rRNA from 1 species